rnacentral:rRNA from 1 species
UUAAAUUGAAGAGUUUGAUCAUGGCUCAGAUUGAACGCUGGCGGCAGGCCUAACACAUGCAAGUCGAACGGUAACAGGAAACAGCUUGCUGUUUCGCUGACGAGUGGCGGACGGGUGAGUAAUGUCUGGGAAACUGCCUGAUGGAGG